rnacentral:rRNA from 1 species
UACGUAGGGUGCGAGCGUUAAUCGGAAUUACUGGGCGUAAAGCGUGCGCAGGCGGUGAUGUAAGACAGAUGUGAAAUCCCCGGGCUUAACCUGGGAACUGCAUUUGUGACUGCACGGCUAGAGUGCGGCAGAGGGGGAUGGAAUUCCGCGUGUAGCAGUGAAAUGCGUAGAUAUGCGGAGGAACACCGAUGGCGAAGGCAAUCCCCUGGGCCUGCACUGACGCUCAUGCACGAAAGCGUGGGGAGCAAACAGG